UACACUGGUGGCGACCGGCGCACGGGUGAGUAACACGUGUGCAACCAACCCCGUACCGGGAGAUAACCCGCGGAAACGUGGACUAACAUCCCAUGAGACUCUAGAUCCGCAUGGCUCUAGAUUUAAAAUUCCGGUGGUACGGGACGGGCACGCGCGACAUUAGGUAGUUGGCGGGGUAAGGGCCCACCAAGCCGACGAUGUCUAGGGGUUCUGAGAGGAAGGUCCCCCACACUGGAACUGAGACACGGUCCAA
rnacentral:rRNA from 1 species